UACCAUGUUAUGAGUUCUUCAAACUGUGUAUAAUAAUGCUACAACAAUCGAUCUUUUAACAGCAAAUUGUAUUACAAUUUCUGCCUUUUUAUAGAAAAUGGGCAUAUGGCUUCUAAGGAUAUUCUUGUUUAUUAACUAGGAAAUGGUCGUUGAUAUUGUUUGAUCAAUUCGUAUAUUUUUGUUUUUAGAUUUUGAAUUGCUAACCGGAGAUGAAUGUCCAUUACAUCACCAUUACCAGAAGACUUUCAUGUCCCCACAAGAUAGAACUGUCUUGGUCAAUUUAGCUGCUGGUCGGAAUGUCAGCACAACCAUCUUUAGAACGUCAGCAGAGUGUCAACUGAUCUGACCAAAUAUUAUCAUGACCACCUCAUCUACUUGCCUGACCUAAAGACCUUACCUACUUGACACAUCCAGCCUUCUUGCACUGGCUUGAUGUUGACAACUUCACCAUUAACGCAUUUCUAUCAUUUGACAUCACACUUCAAGACUUGAAUGAGGAGGCUGGUGAUGAUCCAGAUUUUGAACCGGACUUCAACUUGUGAAUGUGUACUGUCAUCUGGGCUGCUCUCCUACAUCAUGUGACGAUGAGCAUGAGUGACUUCUCCCGAUUCAGGAUGGAUAUUACGAGUGUAGUCAUGGGCCACUGAAUCCAGAGGAAAGAAAUAAACCAUGGCUUAACAAGAAAAAACAACUGUAGUACCCUUAAAGCCCUCACAGCCAUUGUCCUUGACAAGCACUGUCUAUCAAAGAUUGCAUACUAUCUAGACUUCAGAUACACUGUGUUGUGUGUAGACAGAAAGCAGAGUGGUACCACCAGUCACCUAAGUCACCAUUCCUCUCACAGACAAAAAAGCUCAUGGGGACGGUCCCUGCAGUUUACAGCAAAGCUCUCAAUUGAACCACUACCAACUUCAGGUACUGCCAAGGGCGUAGCUCUGGUGCACCAGGCCGGAUUUCAAGCCAUGUGUAAUCAACAUUACCAGCUGAACUGAGGCCAGGAAAAAUAUCAGACUCCUUAACAGCAUGGACCUCUUUCUUGGGUGGAUGGAUUCAGAGAUGACCCCAGAGAUGCGGCCAUGACUGUGGUUAUAGAUAGUGAAUGUAAAGAAAUGAUGAUAGCAGAAAGACGAUAUGAUUUUUUGGUGUUAAAUCAACAGACUGUGUUCAUAAUU